ensembl:lncRNA
AUGAAGCCUCCAUCAUCAAGCUAGCAGAAAUCCCACAUCUCCUUCUGGCUACAGAGCACUUACUUACCAAGCCCAUGAAAUCGAAUGCAGAUCUUCCUGAUGUGAGAUUUACAUAAAUAUGUCAAAGUCUCAACCUCAUGCUGCCCUCCCCCAUCCUCCUAAAGUAAGCAUUUGUUGUUGUAGUUUUUAUGCAGUGUCUGUGUCACAUGCUAAUCAUAAUUAUUGAAAUAACUGUUUUCUAACAGAUUUUCCAAAACACUAGUUAUGUUUGUUGUCAUUCAGACUAAUACUACUGCUUAGACAUUGCUUAGUGGUCAUGCAUGUUUGACAAGCUUGUUAUGAUACCAAAACUGUAGGCCUGUCACAAUAAUCGAUAUAUCGACUUAACACACAAUACAUGUACAUGACCUCAAUAAUUGU